GACGAACGCUGGCGGCGUGCUUAACACAUGCAAGUCGAACGGAAAGGCCCUACUGUUGUUGGCUACUCGAUUGGCGAACGGUUGCGUACCACGUAGGUACCCUUCCCUUAACUUUGGGAUAACUUCAGGAAACUAGGGCUAAUAACAGCUAAGAGCUCCUGCUGCUUGGUGGUGGUUGGAAAGUUGCGGCGGUUGGGGAUGGAGUCGCGGCUUAUGAGCUUGUUGGUGGGGUAGUGGCUUACACAGGCUACGACGGGUAGCCGGCCUGAGAGGGUGACAGGCCACAGUGGGACUGAGGAACGGCCCAUACGCCUACGGGAGGAAGGAGUGGGGAAUUGUGCAAGAUGGGCGGAGGGAUUAUGCAGCAUCGCCGGGUGCGGGAUGACGGCCGUAGGGGUGGAAAGCGUGUUCGCCUGUGAAGAAGAGUGAGUGACGGUAAUGGGUAAAGAAGCACCGGCUAACUACGUG
rnacentral:rRNA from 1 species